UGCUCAGAGUUGGACCCAGGGGCAGGUCACAACCCCAGAGAGGAGAGGUUCUUUCCUACCUGUGACAUUUCUGGAGAAGAUGCUUAUGGUGAGGUUCUGUGGAGCAUCUGGGAUAGAAAGACAUAGCCCCGUUUCAGAGCCUCAUCCGCCCCCAGGGACCAACCAUCCCUCCAGCACUCACAGGAGAUGUUGAGCUGGAUGGUUCUCUCCAUGGCCGCCUGUGCUCCUUGGUGUUUCACCCAACAAGUGAAGUUGGUGCCACGGUCUUGGAGCCUCGGUGUGAAGGGUAAAGAACAGCACCCGACCAGCCCCCUGGGGAUUGGAGCCUCUGGGUCUUCUGGAAGAUCGAAGAGCAAAUUCACUGUCAUAUGAUGGGAGCCCUGAGGACAGGAGCCCAGGCGACGGAGGUGUACCCCUCUGUCAGGAGAGAAGGAGUGUGAACACAGAAAAGGUUGGCGAGUGGGAAGGAAGUUGCAUCCAGAAGCCACAAAGUGUGGACAUAAGGACCCUGGUUCAACAGAAAAGGAAGUCUCCCCAUUACAUCUCUGAAGCAGGAAGGACACACGGUGGGGAGGAGGCUGGACCGGGCAACCUCAGAGCCAAAUAUGUGGCAAGAGCUUGCCCGAGAACAAAGCCAACAGAGGACAGCAGAGCUACGGGGCUAACAAAUAAAGAAAAAGGGCUUUGGUGACGUUGACCGAGCUCCGGAACCCUCUGUGCCUGAGGCCAGUGUCCUUCAGAACUUUUCAAGCUGAAUGAGUCAACACUGCUUUUGUUUUGUUUUGUUUUCUCCAUUGGGCCAGUUUGAGCUGGAAAGAUAUUGUGUGUGUCUAACACAACCUCUCCCCUAACGGCCAUGACCACACACCCUUCCCUACUCUGCCUCAGCCCGUGAAGCUGCCAAAAACCACCCCCGUGAAAUUUGAUUUCAGUUUCACUGUUCACAACCCAUCCGUGGAUUUCUGGGAAGGAUGCUGACAUACGUUCAUGCUGUUUAACAAGUCCCUCUCCGUCGCCCAUCAACAUAAAAUGAACGUGACCAAAACCAGUUUCAGAAAUCAAGGCCAAUGCCCCAGCUUAGGCUGCCAUAACAAAAUUCUACAGACUGGAAUCUGAAACAAAAGGAAUUUGUUCCUCGUGGUUCUGGAGGCUGGGAAGUCCAAGAUCCAAGCCCUGGCUGAUUUAGUUCCCUGGGAGGGCUCUUUUCCUGACUCGCAGACGGCCGCCUUCUUUGCUGUGUUGUUACAUGGGAGAAAGAGAGAGACAGAGAACUCUGGUCUUUCUUCUUCUUAUAAGGACACUAGUUUCAUCAUGGCGGCUCCACCUUCAUGAUCUCAUCUAUACCUAAUUACCUCCCAAAGGCCCACCCCCCAACACCAUCACAUUGGGGGCGGGGCUUCAACACACAAAAUUUAGGGGGAUGCAAACAUUCGGUCCAUAGCAACCAACCACAUGAGAACAAACGGAGGCUAUUCACUCAGGGCUUGCUAUAGUAAGCAAGUUGGCCACCAUCACUCGUGUUUUGGCAGCAGAGGGUUGGGAAAGCUUCAUAGAGAAGAAGAGAGAAGGCUUCAGGGGUACUCUGAUCAGAGGCUGUUGACCUAGGGAAGCUGGAGUUGGGCUAAGUAGAAGCGGGGUGUCUAGUGUGACUGGUUAGGGUACACAUUUGGCUUUUUCUGGUUGGUACUAGAAGCAGGAACAAAAAUUAGGGAGGCCAAGUUAUUCAUAGAGUCCUGGACAUUUUGGAUGGAUACAGGGGUUAUGGUUUGAUUUCCUCAAUAUGUUGCCAGAGACGUGGUCUGACUUCCUACAAGUCUGACUUGUCGAUAGCAGGCUGGCUUCUUGGGUCGGUUACUGUAAGUGAUGGGUCAACUUCCCGGGCUGGUUAUGACACACUGUCGAUCAGAGUUCUAUUUUUACGUAGGGUCUGAGAUCAUCCGUUUGUGUAUUCAGCCUCUCAACAGUGUUGUGGAAAAAUCUCCAUAUUCAAGAAGGCCUAUGAAAUUCAUUUCAGGGAGAGGACCUAUACACUUAUUUUUCAAAGCAAAUCAGUGACUUUUCGAGUGUCUAAACAGAAAGCCCAGGACUAGUCAGGAGGUUGAGCUGAAGAAUUGGCUAAAAUUUCUCCACCUAAUAAAAUCACGGGAAUCCUAAGAUUGUGGCUAAGAGAGAAGAGACUGUGGGCGGCAUUGAUCUUCGUGGCGAUGGAGGUGAUGGGGACGGGAGCUGGUCUUCUUCUGCCGUGAGAGAUGAGGCCCCAGCAGCAUGGCGACAGGAGAUACACAGCUGGUAUGAGGCUCCAUGGUGUGGAGAUGGAUGCUGGGGAUUAAUAUCCCAUUUAGAUUGCUUUCUUGUUUGUGUGGCCAUUCUGUGCUACCGUCCCUAAACUUUUACUGUGUUACACAUAAUACCAUUGGAUUAAUAGUGCUGGAGAAUGCAAGAAAGACGUUUUUGCUCCCAUGUUGGAAGGAAGGACAUCACCAUGCAUUUGACAAAGGGGAGAAUUGUAUCAUGCACAGCAAUCCUCACAGUGUGCAGAAUUGGCAGUUUUGCAUUGAAUGUGCUUUGGUGGCAGGGGGGUUCCAGUUAUAUUUUUCCAGAUAUUAAAAAUCCUGGAGGGCUGCAGGAUUUGGGGGACCUCUGGUUUGUACCACAUGUGAUAUUAAAAUCCCUGGGGAUAUCAAUCUGCUGUA